ensembl:lincRNA
CCGUGUGUGAGCUGUGCCGUGUGUGAGCUGUGCCGUGUGAGCUGUGCCGUGUGUGAGCUGUGCCGUGUGGUCUGUGCCGUGUGUGAGCUGUGCCGUGUGUGAGCUGUGCCGUGUGUGAGCUGUGCCGUGUGGUCUGUGCCGUGUGUGAGCUGUGCCGUGUGUGAGCUGUGCAGUGUGUGAGCUGUGCCAUGUGUGAGCUGCCGUGUGUGCACUGUGCCAUGUGUGCUGUGCCGUGUGGUCUGUUCUGUGUGAUCUGUGCUCUCUGAGCUGUGCAGUGAGGCAGUCCCUGUCCCUCCACGCUCUUCGUUGUCUGGGAUUCUCAGCCCUGAUCCCAGAGUGUGUGGUGUGUCCUGCACCUGCGCCCACAGCCUGUCCUCCACUCCUUUCCCAGGAUGUGGAAAACACCCUGGGACGGCAGGCCCAGCUGAGAGCUGCCCGGCGUGGGGCUCCUCUCAGGUCCGCUGCGCGUGGGGUCUGUGACCCCUUCCCCGGCCUGUCCGUAAAGGUUUGCUGUUGGGAGAUGCUGAGCGUGUGAUAAAAUAGAUUGUUUUGCUACUUGAGAAUGCGCCAAGCUGUUUUCCGCUUGCGGGUGGGGGCGGCCAGGUUUUCCUUGCCGUCAUUCCUCUUACCAUUCAGUGUAUGUUUUCACACUCCCAGCGUUUGUCAGUAGUUUCCCUGGUGACACCACGGCGGGCCGAUCGGGGAGAAGAGGUUGGGGCUGGGGCCGGGACGGAGGCCACCUCGCUGCCUCUCUGGUUUUGGGAAACCCGUUCUGUGCCUGCCACGUUUCACAGCGAGGGCACCGCUUCCGUCUCACAGGUUGAGUGGCAGAGAACACAGCGUGUUCACAGGUGUGGCGAUCGUCCAGUGCUCCAGCCGAGGGACAAGGCAGGUGGCUAACGGCAUCCAGGGCCUCGGCGGGAUGCUGGUGGAGUCCGUGCACGGGGCUUCGCCACUCCGUCGGCUUCCCGCUGAACCACUUCUGCAGGCAGCUCAAUGCG